ACUGGCUCAGGACGAACGCUGGCGGCGUGCUUAACACAUGCAAGUCGAACGGUAAGGCCCUUCGGGGUACACGAGUGGCGAACGGGUGAGUAACACGUGGGUGAUCUGCCCUGCACUUUGGGAUAAGCCUGGGAAACUGGGUCUAAUACCGAAUACACCCUGCUGGUCGCAUGGCCUGGUGGGGGAAAGCUUUUGCGGUGUGGGAUGGGCCCGCGGCCUAUCAGCUUGUUGGUGGGGUGAUGGCCUACCAAGGCGACGACGGGUAGCCGGCCUGAGAGGGUGUCCGGCCACACUGGGACUGAGAUACGGCCCAGACUCCUACGGGAGGCAGCAGUGGGGAAUAUUGCACAAUGGGCGCAAGCCUGAUGCAGCGACGCCGCGUGAGGGAUGACGGCCUUCGGGUUGUAAACCUCUUUCAAUAGGGACGAAGCGCAAGUGACGGUACCUAUAGAAGAAGCACCGGCCAACUACGUGCCAGCAGCCGCGGUAAUACGUAGGGUGCGAGCGUUGUCCGGAAUUACUGGGCGUAAAGAGCUCGUAGGUGGUUUGUCGCGUUGUUCGUGAAAACUCACAGCUUAACUGUGGGCGUGCGGGCGAUACGGGCAGACUGGAGUACUGCAGGGGAGACUGGAAUUCCUGGUGUAGCGGUGGAAUGCGCAGAUAUCAGGAGGAACACCGGUGGCGAAGGCGGGUCUCUGGGCAGUAACUGACGCUGAGGAGCGAAAGCGUGGGGAGCGAACAGGAUUAGAUACCCUGGUAGUCCACGCCGUAAACGGUGGGUACUAGGUGUGGGUUUCCUUCCUUGGGAUCCGUGCCGUAGCUAACGCAUUAAGUACCCCGCCUGGGGAGUACGGCCGCAAGGCUAAAACUCAAAGAAAUUGACGGGGGCCCGCACAAGCGGCGGAGCAUGUGGAUUAAUUCGAUGCAACGCGAAGAACCUUACCUGGGUUUGACAUGCACAGGACGCCGGCAGAGAUGUCGGUUCCCUUGUGGCCUGUGUGCAGGUGGUGCAUGGCUGUCGUCAGCUCGUGUCGUGAGAUGUUGGGUUAAGUCCCGCAACGAGCGCAACCCUUGUCUCAUGUUGCCAGCACGUAAUGGUGGGGACUCGUGAGAGACUGCCGGGGUCAACUCGGAGGAAGGUGGGGAUGACGUCAAGUCAUCAUGCCCCUUAUGUCCAGGGCUUCACACAUGCUACAAUGGCCGGUACAAAGGGCUGCGAUGCCGUGAGGUGGAGCGAAUCCUUUCAAAGCCGGUCUCAGUUCGGAUCGGGGUCUGCAACUCGACCCCGUGAAGUCGGAGUCGCUAGUAAUCGCAGAUCAGCAACGCUGCGGUGAAUACGUUCCCGGGCCUUGUACACACCGCCCGUCACGUCAUGAAAGUCGGUAACACCCGAAGCCGGUGGCCUAACCCGUAAGGGAGGGAGCCGUCGAAGGUGGGAUCGGCGAUUGGGACGAAGUCGUAACAA
rnacentral:rRNA from 1 species